AUUGAACGCUGGCGGCAGGCUUAACACAUGCAAGUCGAGCGGGGUGAUGGUGCUUGCACUAUCACUUAGCGGCGGGCGGGUGAGUAAUGCUUAGGAAUCUGCCUAUUAGUGGGGGACAACAUCUCGAAAGGGAUGCUAAUACCGCAUACGUCCUACGGGAGAAAGCAGGGGAUCACUUGUGACCUUGCGCUAAUAGAUGAGCCUAAGUCGGAUUAGCUAGUUGGUGGGGUAAAGGCCUACCAAGGCGACGAUCUGUAGCGGGUCUGAGAGGAUGAUCCGCCACACUGGGACUGAGACACAGCCCAGAAUCCUGCGGGAGGCAGCAGUGGGGAAUAUUGGACAAUGGGGAGAACCCUGAUCCAGCCAUGCCGCGUGUGUGAAGGAGGCCUUUGCUUGUAAAGCACUUUAAGCGAGGAGGAGGCUCUUUUGGUUAAUACCCAAGAUGAGUGGACGUUACUCGCAGAAUAAGCACCGGCUAACUCUGUGCCAGCCGCCGCCGUAA
rnacentral:rRNA from 1 species